UAACCUGCCCAAGAGACUGGGAUAACACCUGGAAACAGAUGCUAAUACCGGAUAACAACACUAGACGCAUGUCUAGAGUUUGAAAGAUGGUUCUGCUAUCACUCUUGGAUGGACCUGCGGUGCAUUAGCUAGUUGGUAAGGUAACGGCUUACCAAGGCAAUGAUGCAUAGCCUAGUUGAGAGACUGAUCGGCCACAUUGGGACUGAGACACGGCCCAAACUCCUACGGGAGGCAGCAGCC
rnacentral:rRNA from 1 species